AAAGAGUGUCGUCUCCGAACGUAUUCGCUGUUGGUUAAUCGAGGAGAGAGUGGUCGGAUAGAUGAACUGUUGAGAGCGACGUAGGUGGUACAGAAUCUGAUUCCACCAGCAUGUGCUUCCAACCCCUAGCUCUGCACAAGUUGAUGCCUUUCUCUUUGUAAAACUCAGGUUAUCUGGAGUCCUUCCAACGUGCCCUGCUCAAAAAUACCCCAAAGCAGCUGCAUUUUGUUUACACAAGCAUGAAGGAGGGGACACACCUUGCGGCUAUGGAGCACAACAAUAUUGUGGGACAGAAACCAGCAAGGGACACUGAAUGGUAUAAAAUCAAGACUACAACAAUAAUCACAACCACCUCAUUCUUCUCUCUGCAGAUUCUGAAAACAGAAUACAGACAUGCCUACAAAAAUCCCCUGCCAAGGGCUACUAUUGACAAAAAUGAUCUGUAAAGGUCAGUGGGCUGGGUUGUGCUUAGAGACAGUAAAUGUAUUGUGUACGAGAGCGAUUGAGAAGUGUCACUUCGCAAUCUCCCCUACUGACGUCUGAAGACUUUUCAGCCCUUCUGCAGCCACCAGCCCAUUCACUUCGUUGACUGAUCUUUCCUCUCAAAAGCUUUACCCACAAAACAUGUAAAAUGCAAACACCACAACCACGUCUUUCCAGUACCAGCCAAUCUUCUGCAAGAGGUCCAAACAGCUAGUGGUUAAGAAGGUCUACGAACCCUACACCACUUCCUGCAGAGUCUUAUCCAGCUGGCCAUACACUGCAGACAGGACAAGACCAUUUGCCACAAGCAAAGAGCAGCUUUCCCAGCCCGCCAUGGCAAACACCAUUGCCAGUGUACUGCAACCGGAUAAAGGACAGUGUGGCUCAUCACAAGACCAUGUAGA